AUUGAACGCUGGCGGCAGGCCUAACACAUGCAAGUCGAGCGAGCGGCGAACGGGUGAGUAAUGUAUGGGGACUGCCCGAUAGAGGGGGAUAACUAGUGGAAAAGGUAGCUAAUACCGCAUACUAUCGGAUAACCCAUAUGGGGUUAGCUAGUAGGUGAGUGAAUGGUUCACCUAGGCGACGAUCCCUAGCUGUGCUGAGAGGAUGAUCAGCCACACUGGGACUGAGACACGGCCCAGACUCCUACGGAGGCAGCAGUAGGGAAUAUUUCACAAUGGGCACAAGCCUGAUGCAGCCAUGCCGCGUGUAUGAAGAAGGCCCUAGGGUUGUAAAGUACUUUCAGUCGGGAGGCGUUACCGACAGAAGAAGCACCGGCUAACUCCGUGCCAGCAGCCGCGGUAAUUC
rnacentral:rRNA from 1 species